rnacentral:rRNA from 1 species
UACAGAGGGGGCAAGCGUUAUUCGGAAUUAUUGGGCGUAAAGGGCGCGUAGGCGGCUAUUCAAGUCGAGUGUGAAAGCCCCCGGCUCAACUGGGGAGGGUCACUCGAUACUGAUCGACUUGAAGGCAGGAGAGGGAAGCGGAAUUCCCGGUGUAGUGGUGAAAUGCGUAGAUAUCAGGAGGAACACCAAUGGCGAAGGCAGAUCUCUGGGCCGUAACUGACGCUGAGGAGCGAAAGCAUGGGGAGCGAACAGG